CGAGGUGCAAGCGUUACUCGGAUUACUGGCGUAAGCGUGCGUAGGCGGUUCGUUAAGUCCGAUGUGAAAGCCCUGGGCGUCAACCUGGGAACGUGCAUUUGGAAACUGGCGGGCUGGAGUGCGGUAGAGGGUGGCGGAAUUCCCGGUGUAGCAGUGAAAUGCGUAGAUAUCCGGGAGGAACACCCGUGGCGAAGGCGGCCACCUGGACCAGCACUGACGCUGAGGCACGAAAGCGUUGGGGAGCAAAACAGGAUUU
rnacentral:rRNA from 1 species